GAGAACGAGGUGGAUGGAGCCGCGGGAAUGGGUAGGGAGGAAGCGUUAGCCGGAGUUACUGGGUGGAAAGGGAGCGUAGACGGCGUAGCAAGGCCGAUGUGAAAACCGGCGGCUCAACGGGGGGCCCGCAUUGGAAACUGUCAUGCUCGAGUACUGGAGGGGCAGGCGGAAUUCCUAGUGUAGCGGUGAAAUGCGUAGAUAUUAGGAGGAACACCGGUGGCGAAGGCGGCCUGCUGGACAGUAACUGACGUUGAGGCUCGAAAGCGUGGGGAGCAAACAGGAUUAGAUACCCUAGUAGUC
rnacentral:rRNA from 1 species